UACGUAGGGUGCAAGCGUUGUCCGGAAUUAUUGGGCGUAAAGAGCUCGUAGGCGGUCUGUCGCGUCUGCUGUGAAAACUCAGGGCUUAACCCUGAGCUUGCAGUGGGUACGGGCAGACUAGAGUGCGGUAGGGGAGACUGGAAUUCCUGGUGUAGCGGUGAAAUGCGCAGAUAUCAGGAGGAACACCCGUGGCGAAGGCGGCUUUCUGGGACGGUACUGGACGC
rnacentral:rRNA from 1 species